GUGCCAGCCGCCGCGGUAAUACGGAGGGUGCAAGCGUUGCUCGGAAUUACUGGGCGUAAAGAGCGUGUAGGCGGUGUCGCAUGUCUGGCGUGAAAGCCCCGGGCUUACCCCGGGAAGUGCGUUGGAAACUGCGAGACUAGAGUCCCGGAGAGGAAGGUGGAAUUCCAGGUGUAGCGGUGAAAUGCGUAGAUAUCUGGAAGAACACCGGUGGCGAAGGCGGCCUUCUGGACGGUGACUGACGCUGAGACGCGAAAGCGUGGGGAGCAAACAGGAUUAGAUACCCCCGUAGUCC
rnacentral:rRNA from 1 species